GUUAUGCAACUGGCGGAUAAGUGGGAUUACCCACAGGGAGCAUAACAAUAGUAAGAAGUCGACCGCCUGGGCAGCCC
rnacentral:ncRNA from 1 species